rnacentral:lncRNA from 1 species
GGAGACCUAAGCCAUGCUGAUGAGGAAAUCACUCCAGACCAGAGGCAGCUGGGUCUGCUGGAUGGCUGGGCCUGGAGGGUAUGUAGAGAAGAAGAGGGCUGCCCGUGCUGCACGCGUGGGUUCGUGUGAACAGAGCAUCAGUGGACCCAGCAUAGCAGAGGCUUGGAUCAACUCAGGAGGGUGACAACUGAAGCUGCACUGGUGGAAGAUACUGUGUGGAGACAGAGAGGACUGCAAUGUUUUCCCUGGGUGAGUGGAUGGGUGAGACCCCCACCCCCAGCUUCACACUUGAGCCAGGAAUCCCAGGAACCUCUAGCCUUCCCCUCAUGUCUGUGACCAGAGGGACAGAGA